rnacentral:rRNA from 1 species
AGAGUUUGAUCCUGGCUCAGGAUGAACGCUGGCGGCGCGCCUAACACAUGCAAGUCGAACGGCACCCAUCUUCGGAUGGAAGCGAGUGGCGAACGGCUGAGUAACACGUGGAGAACCUGCCCCCUCCCCCGGGAUAGCCGCCCGAAAGGACGGGUAAUACCGGAUACCCCGGGGUGCCGCAUGGCACCCCGGCUAAAGCCCCGACGGGAGGGGAUGGCUCCGCGGCCCAUCAGGUAGACGGCGGGGUGACGGCCCACCGUGCCGACAACGGGUAGCCGGGUUGAGAGACCGACCGGCCAGAUUGGGACUGAGACACGGCCCAGACUCCUACGGGAGGCAGCAGUGGGGAAUCUUGCGCAAUGGGGGGAACCCUGACGCAGCGACGCCGCGUGCGGGACGGAGGCCUUCGGGUCGUAAACCGCUUUCAGCAGGGAAGAGUCAAGACUGUACCUGCAGAAGAAGCCCCGGCUAACUACGUGCCAGCAGCCGCGGUAAUACGUAGGGGGCGAGCGUUAUCCGGAUUCAUUGGGCGUAAAGCGCGCGUAGGCGGCCCGGCAGGCCGGGGGUCGAAGCGGGGGGCUCAACCCCCCGAAGCCCCCGGAACCUCCGCGGCUUGGGUCCGGUAGGGGAGGGUGGAACACCCGGUGUAGCGGUGGAAUGCGCAGAUAUCGGGUGGAACACCGGUGGCGAAGGCGGCCCUCUGGGCCGAGACCGACGCUGAGGCGCGAAAGCUGGGGGAGCGAACAGGAUUAGAUACCCUGGUAGUCCCAGCCGUAAACGAUGGACGCUAGGUGUGGGGGGACGAUCCCCCCGUGCCGCAGCCAACGCAUUAAGCGUCCCGCCUGGGGAGUACGGCCGCAAGGCUAAAACUCAAAGGAAUUGACG